rnacentral:rRNA from 1 species
GAUGAACGCUGGCGGUCUGCUUAACACAUGCAAGUCGAACGCAACCUUCGGGUUGAGUGGCGGACGGGUGAGUAACGCGUGAGAAUCUGCCUUGGGGUCGGGGACAACCACUGGAAACGGUGGCUAAUACCGGAUAAGCCUUUGGGUAAAAAAUUUAUUGCCCCAAGAGGAGCUCGCGUCUGAUUAGCUAGUUGGUGAGGUAAAAGCUCACCAAGGCAGCGAUCAGUAGCUGGUCUGAGAGGACGAUCAGCCACACUGGGACUGAGACACGGCCCAGACUCCUACGGGAGGCAGCAGUGGGGAAUUUUCCGCAAUGGGCGAAAGCCUGACGGAGCAAGACCGCGUGAGGGAGGAAGGCUCUUGGGUUGUAAACCUCUUUUCUCAGGGAAGAAGCUCUGACGGUACCUGAGGAAUCAGCCUC